rnacentral:rRNA from 1 species
GUACACAAAAAUGCACAUAUUGUGAGCUCGAUGAGUAGGGCGGGACACGUGGUAUCCUGUCUGAAUAUGGGGGGACCAUCCUCCAAGGCUAAAUACUCCUGACUGACCGAUAGUGAACCAGUACCGUGAGGGAAAGGCGAAAAGAACCCCGGCGAGGGGAGUGAAAAAGAACCUGAAACCGUGUACGUACAAGCAGUGGGAGCCUCUUUAUGGGGUGACUGCGUACCUUUUGUAUAAUGGGUCAGCGACUUAUAUUCUGUAGCAAGGUUAACCGAAUAGGGGAGCCGAAGGGAAACCGAGUCUUAACUGGGCGUUAAGUUGCAGGGUAUAGACCCGAAACCCGGUGAUCUAGCCAUGGGCAGGUUGAAGGUUGGGUAACACUAACUGGAGGACCGAACCGACUAAUGUUGAAAAAUUAGCGGAUGACUUGUGGCUGGGGGUGAAAGGCCAAUCAAACCGGGAGAUAGCUGGUUCUCCCCGAAAGCUAUUUAGGUAGCGCCUCGUGAAUUCAUCUCCGGGGGUAGAGCACUGUUUCGGCAAGGGGGUCAUCCCGACUUACCAACCCGAUGCAAACUGCGAAUACCGGAGAAUGUUAUCACGGGAGACACACGGCGGGUGCUAACGUCCGUCGUGAAGAGGGAAACAACCCAGACCGCCAGCUAAGGUCCCAAAGUCAUGGUUAAGUGGGAAACGAUGUGGGAAGGCCCAGACAGCCAGGAUGUUGGCUUAGAAGCAGCCAUCAUUUAAAGAAAGCGUAAUAGCUCACUGGUCGAGUCGGCCUGCGCGGAAGAUGUAACGGGGCUAAACCAUGCACCGAAGCUGCGGCAGCGACACUAUGUGUUGUUGGGUAGGGGAGCGUUCUGUAAGCCUGUGAAGGUGGCCUGUGAGGGUUGCUGGAGGUAUCAGAAGUGCGAAUGCUGACAUAAGUAACGAUAAAGCGGGUGAAAAGCCCGCUCGCCGGAAGACCAAGGGUUCCUGUCCAACGUUAAUCGGGGCAGGGUGAGUCGACCCCUAAGGCGAGGCCGAAAGGCGUAGUCGAUGGGAAACAGGUUAAUAUUCCUGUACUUGGUGUUACUGCGAAGGGGGGACGGAGAAGGCUAUGUUGGCCGGGCGACGGUUGUCCCGGUUUAAGCGUGUAGGCUGGUUUUCCAGGCAAAUCCGGAAAACCAAGGCUGAGGCGUGAUGACGAGGCACUACGGUGCUGAAGCGACAAAUGCCCUGCUUCCAGGAAAAGCCUCUAAGCAUCAGGUAACAUCAAAUCGUACCCCAAACCGACACAGGUGGUCAGGUAGAGAAUACCAAGGCGCUUGAGAGAACUCGGGUGAAGGAACUAGGCAAAAUGGUGCCGUAACUUCGGGAGAAGGCACGCUGAUAUGUAGGUGAAGCGACUUGCUCGUGGAGCUGAAAUCAGUCGAAGAUACCAGCUGGCUGCAACUGUUUAUUAAAAACACAGCA